GGAAGGGAAGGGAAGAGGAAGUAAGGAAGGAAAGGAGGAGAGAAAAAUAGAUUACAAAAAUGGAAAGAAUGAAAAAAAAAGCCUUAUCCCUGAAAUGCCAAUGAACUAAUGUCAGGGAUGUAUCCUCUGGCUCUAGAAAACUCAAGAUGGGCUUAUACCACCAGGCAUUCGGGAGAGAAACCCCUGAGAGAAUUUUUGGAAGUGAGAACAAUUCUCUUUUUCUUUCUCACCUUGAUGCCUGCCUGCAGUGACAACACCCUUAUCAUUUGCUUCCUGUGAGUUUCUAACUAAUUGUGCAUUUAUUUAGUGCCAGGACAGUGCUAGGCAUUUUGCAUGAAUUCUUACUACCAAACCCAACAUCACCCUGUUUUACAAACUGGGGCUUAGAGGAGCCAGCCACAGUGGGAACAGAGUGAUCAUGUAAACCAGAAGGUUUGACCAGGGCCUGCUCUUAAAACCAUCACAGCCAGGGAGCCUACCAGUGAGAAGGACCAAAGACAGUGCCUUUGUCCACGCCCACAUGUUUACCACAGGAAUCCUGUCUGUUCUAUCUCUAUGGUAACUUCUGAUCCCAUAAAUGCUACAUAGUCUGCAGGGCCAUUCCAUAAAAUCUUUACCAGAGUGGAAGUGAACGGUGAAAUGAUAGUUGGGUAACUGCCAAGGAACUAAAGGAAAAGGGCAGGGGAUUGAUGCGAAGGUAACAGAGCAUGCCAGGUAGAUUUCAGGAGCUCCAAUAAGACUUGAAGGAUGAAGACACAUUUAACCAGGAAAACACCUUUUCUGGAUGUGCAAACUGGAAACUCAUUCUAAUAUUCGAGGUUUAAUCAUGCAUCUCUAGCAGUACUGGGAAGGCAUUCAGGUGAUCAGAUAUAUACCCAAUCUUGUGCCUCUCUUGAGUGAAGCCUAACAUGUUUGAGUAAGAAGUGCUACUUAGCCUGGCCUUCAUACAAUCACACCAAGACGAUACACUGUAUGGGGCUUACAAGAAAGCUGUAAGGAACAAAGGGACGCCAAUUGAAUCUCAGACUGGUACUUUCUAGGCCAGAUUUGCCAUACUUUUUAGCUGGCCUCCGGACUGGCUGUAGGAAGGAUCAAUUUGAGUGGCAGUUGAAUCCAGUUCCAGAUCGUGGUGACCAGGGGAAAUCCUCUGAUCAAUUACAUUAGAAUCAACGUUCAACUUUAGCACUGCUUUGCAAUUUUCUAGCCUUCAAUUCCACUUGACAUUCAAAUGCUGUGCUGUCAAUCUUGUUCUUUAAAGUACUGAAUCUUGGAGUAAUGGAUGUGAGCUCUGAUUCUUCGUGUACUAUUCUAAGUCUCUGGGCCAAUACGGUCAAUUUCAGACAUUUGUGAAGACCCCAGAGACAGCUUCCAAAGAAAAUGACCCAUGGGAGAGUUCCUGAGAGUAAGAAGAAAUCUUUAAGAGUAUUUUUGCUAGUGGGCUUCCCCGUCCCAGCACAGUACCACCAGCUGGCCUCCAUUUGUACUGGUGAGGGAGGGCCUUCUAUGGCUUUUAAAUCUGAUCUCAAGAUAUCCACCAUGUAGGAAGUCUCUAUUCAUUAUAAUAGGUGAGCUAAUUGGCUCAGGGAAGUUCAUGCCUGGAUCACAGCUAGGCCUUCUGAGAGCCUGGCUCUUCUGCUUUCUCUCUAGUGGCUUUGUUCCCAUGACCACUUAGCAGAUUCUAGAAUGUUAGGGCAAGAAAACUCUCUGGUGUAAUCAUUUAGCUCUAGCCCUGCUUCCAAAGACCCCAAGUGCUAAAAAUGAAUCACUUUGUAAGAAGUCAACUAUCUACUCGGAUAAUGGUUACAUUCUAUCACUGAGCAGUAUGAGUGCCCCUAGUAUAAAGAUCUAAAGAAAGUGAUGCUUGUGAAAAGGUCAUUUGACCCUGGGUUGAGAAUCACUAUUCUGGAAGUAGAGAGACUGAGGAGCUCACGUCCCUACAGAGAGCUGCUCUAAACUGAGCUGGAUCACCUGUGCAAGUACACAGCCCUGCCUUGUUUUCAACCCAACUCAGCCCGUAGUCCUUAACGUUCCUCAUCUCCAAUGAAGAGGUUUGGUUGCUGCAGUUAAGUUCACAUCUAAAUCUGGCUUUUUUUUUUUUAAAUCAAAUGGCUGAGCUGCCCUGCUUAAACAGUUUGGAAUCCUGCUUAAUCAAAUGUAAGGGACACACACUCCAGUUUUAUAAACAUCAUAAAUAUGCACACACAAAAGUAACCCUAAGACCUAUUAUAAGCUUGGUUCCUGGUCUACAUGAUGGCUUGGCCCAACUGCACUCUUAUGGGCGUAGACUGAGAAAAGUACUCAUACAUGUACUCUUUAUUUGAAGAGGAUAUGAUUGUAUAUGUUAAGUAACCCAAAAAAUUCCACAGGGAACUCCUACAGCUAAUAAAGUUUCAGCAAAGUAGUUGGAUACAAAAUUAACUCACAGAAAUCUAUAUAUGAACGACAGACUGAGAAAGAAAUCAGGGAAAUGAUAUCUUUCACAAUAGCAUCAAAUAAUAUAAAAAUAUCUUGGGGUAACUCUAACCAAGUAAGUGAAAGAGUUGUAUGAUAAGAACUUUAAGGUACCAAAGGAAGAAAUUGAACAAAGGUAUCAGAAGAUGGAAAGAUCUCCCAUGCACAUGGAUUGGUAGAAUAUCGUAAAAAUGGCCAUCUUAUCAAAAAGCAAUCUACAGAUUUAAGCAAUUUCCAUCAACAUUCCAAUUCUUCACAGACCUUAAAAGGACAAUUCUCAGCUUCAUAUGGAAGCGUGCGCGCGCACGCGCACGCACACACACACACACACACACACACACACACACACAAUCAGAGUAGCUAAAAAAAUCCUAAACAAUAAAAGAACUGCUGGAGGUCUCCUCAUUCCCAAUUCCAAGUUGUAGUACUGAGCUAUCUGAUAAAAACCACAUGGCACUGGCAUAAGAACAGAGACUGAUUAAUGAAUGAAACUGAAAACCCAGAUGUAAACACAGACCUAUGGGCAUUUAAUCUUUGAUAAAGAAAUCAGAAGUCCACACUGGGAAAAAAAAGACAGCAUCUUCAACAAAUGGUGCUGUCCAACUGGAUAUGUGUGUAUAAAAGACUCCAAAUAGAUCAACACUUAUCACCCCACACAAAACUCAACUCUAGCUGUAUCAAAAGACCUCAACACGAAACCAGACACACUGCAUCUGAUAGAAGAGAAAGUGGGGAAUAACCUUGAAUUCACUAGCACAGGAAAAGAAUUUCUGAACAGAACACUGUUAGCAUGGGCAUCAACCCAUGACACUGAAAAGCUUCUGUAAGGCAAAAAACACCCACAGUCAUUCGGACAAAACAGCAGCCUACAGAAUGGGAAAAGAUUUCCACCAAUUCCAUACCCGACAGAGGGCUAAUACCCCAAAUCUAUAAAGAACUCAAAUAAACUAGGUGUCAACAAAUCACAUAAUCCAAUUUUUAAAAAUUGGAUACAGAUCUAAACUGAAAAUUCUCAACAGGGUAAUCUUAAAUGGCCGAGAAACACCUGAAGAAAUGUUUGGCAUCCUUAGUCAUCAGGAAAAUAUAAGUCAAAAUGACUUUGAGAUUCUAUUUAAUGCCUGUCAGAAUGGCUGAGUUCAGUAACACAAGUGACAGCCUCAUGCUGGUGACGCCCAACCACUGCUGGGAGGAGUGCAAAGUUCUACAGCCACUGUGGAAAUCAGUGUGGUGGUUCCUCAGGAAGAUGGGAAAUGAUCUACCUCAAGACUCAGCUCUACCACUCUUGGUCAUACAGCCAAAGGGUGCUUCAUCCUCCCACAGGGACACCUGUUCAAACACGCUCAUUGUUUCUCUAUUUAUAAUUACCAUAAGUCAGAAACAGCCUAGAUGGCUCUCUAAAGAAUGGAUAGAGAACACGUGGAACUUUUACUCGUUGGAGUAUUACUCAGCCAUUAAGAAGAAUGCAGAUGAACAGAACUAGAAAGAGUUCAUCCUGAGUGACCCACAGUGAUGGAGAACAGACCCUGACACACAGCCUGCACAGGGCCUGAAGGACCUCUGCAAGGGUCCUCUGGGUAUAAAUUAUGACUUCCAGAAUGUGAGAACAAGGGGGUCUUUGACUCCUUGUGCCUUUUCCUGGUCUUUAUGUUAUUUUUAUCAUCCCUUAGAUGCUUGUUCUUUUUUAAUGAGAGACAGAGAGGGAGUGGAUCUGGAUGGGAGGGGAGGUGGGAAGGAACUGGGAGGAGCAAGGGGGGCAGACCGACUGUAACCAGGUUGUAUUAUAGGAGGGGAAAAAAUCUACUUUCAAUAAAAGGAGGAGGCAUGAAAA